rnacentral:rRNA from 1 species
UACGAAGGGGGCUAGCGUUGCUCGGAAUCACUGGGCGUAAAGGGUGCGUAGGCGGGUUCUUAAGUCAGGGGUGAAAUCCUGGAGCUCAACUCCAGAACUGCCUUUGAUACUGAGAGUCUUGAGUACGGGAGAGGUGAGUGGAACUGCGAGUGUAGAGGUGAAAUUCGUAGAUAUUCGCAAGAACACCAGUGGCGAAGGCGGCUCACUGGCCCGGUACCGACGCUGAGGUGCGAAAGCGUGGGGAGCAAACAGG